CUCGCUCCUCGGCCUUUUGGCUAAGGUCACGUGCAGUGCCUGUUCUUAUCAGUUUAAUGUCUGAUACGGCCGCGAGGAGAGGGCUCUGUAUUAAACGGCUUUUUGGUGCUGGGAGUUGGCCCCGGAGCUUGCUCCCUCCGCUCCGCGCAUCGUCCCGGUAUUGCGGUGCCUCCGGGAGCGGUGCACCCCCG